rnacentral:rRNA from 1 species
CACGUAGGCGGACUCUUAAGUCGGUGGUGAAAUCCUGGAGCUCAACUCCAGAACUGCCUUCGAUACUGGGAGUCUUGAGUCCGGGAGAGGUGAGUGGAACUGCGAGUGUAGAGGUGAAAUUCGUAGAUAUUCGCAAGAACACCAGUGGCGGAGGCGGCUCACUGGCCCGGUACUGACGCUGAGGUGCGAAAGCGUGGGGAGCAAACA